CCUUGCGACAUGGAAGCCGCGAUGGCAACGGGCGCUGGGCCGGCGGGGCUUACGGCAGCUGGGCCACGGGGACGCGAGGGCGCUGCUGAGGCGACGGCGGCGGGCGGCCUCCCUCAGUCUCCCGCCGCCGCCGCCUUCCUCAGCCUCCCGACGCCUUUCGAGGAAGAAGAUGAAGAUGAUAGGCACAAAUGUGGUCGCUGCCAGUCCGAGUUCACUUCUUUGGAAGAAUUUGUGCAGCACAAGCUGCAGAAGAUUUGCCAGAGACCUCAGGAUGCAACCGCAGCAGCAACCCCGGUGAUUUCGCCAGUUGAAGCAGCUAUAACUGUAGCUCAUAUAGUUGUUGAAGCAGCUCCAAUAACAGAAGAAAUCGGCCAUGUACCUGAAAUUGUAGGUAGUGGGCAAAUCAAGGAGGUUGUUGUAGGUGAAGAUCAUGUCUUUGAAAGCCCCAAUGGCCACAGUGAUGAAGAUGGUGGAAUUACUCAGAAUAAUCCAGAAGGCCCAGGGGAAGGUGCUUCUCUGGAACUUAUCAAAGUUAAACUGCUGGUUAAUAAGGAAGGUCGUUACGUCUGUGAAUUAUGCCACAAGACAUUUAAGACGGCCAGCAUUCUCAAGGCUCACAUGAUCACUCACAGCAGCAGGAAGGACUACGAGUGUAAAUUAUGUGGGACAUCUUUCAGGACCAAGGGCUCGCUGAUCCGACAUCAUCGUCGUCACACAGAUGAGCGUCCUUACAAGUGCAAGAAAUGUGGGAAAAGCUUCCGGGAAUCAGGAGCCUUGACUCGACAUUUGAAAUCCCUAACGCCAUGCACUGAGAAAAUCCGCUUCAAUAUGAACAAAGAAAUAGUUGUUAGCAAAGAGGACGUAGCCUCAGGGGCUAGCAACUCCAGCAGUGAAGCCAUCCCCUCGCUGGCAGCUCCGUCCGUGGAGACCUCCCCUGUAAUCCACCUGGUGACGGAUGCAAAAGGGAAUGUCCUCCAUGAGGUCCAUGUCCAGAUGCAGGAGCUCCCAGUCUCGGAAACCAAGGCAUUAGGACAAGAGUCGUCCAAUCUUGAGGAACUGUCCCCAGACCGAGAGGACAAUGAGAACUUACUGCGAGAAGCCAUGAGGAAUUCUGGAAUUGUGAUCGAGCGGGUUUCCAUAGAGGAGGGUGCCAAGUCCGAUGAAAACGGCAUAGCUGGAGCUGCUGAGGACUUAAAGGACAAAGAGGUGGAAACAUCUGAGAAAUUGUGUGAAGAGCAGUAUGUGGAAAUUGAGCACCUAGAAGCUCCAGAUCCCGAAGCGACCCAUGAAUGUAAGCGACACGCGUGCCCUUAUUGCAGCGAAACCUUCAAGGAGCAGAGUAGUCUCGACCUCCACAUCAGUGGACAUCUAGACUACAAGUCUUUUACAUGUGAGGAGUGUGGCAAAGAAUUCACCAAAGGAUACUUGCUGAAAAAGCAUCAGGAAGUGCAUGUGAACGAACGGCGGUUCCGUUGUGGGGAGUGUGGCAAGCUGUAUAAGACAAUUGCACAUGUGAAGGGGCACAGGCGAGUGCAUUCUGACGAGCGGCCGUAUCCUUGCCCCAAAUGCGGGAAGAGGUACAAGACCAAGAAUGCACAGCAGGUUCAUUUCCGAACGCACCUGGACGAAAAGCCAUUCGUCUGCCAGUUCUGUAACCAAGGCUUUCGGGAAAAGGGCUCUUUGGUGCGCCACAUCCGUCACCACACGGGCGAGAAGCCAUUCAAGUGUUACAAAUGCGGCCGUGGGUUUGCGGAGCAUGGCACCCUCAAUCGGCACCUGAGGACCAAAGGUGGCUGCCUCCUUGCCUUGAAAGAAGCUGAAGAAGCAGUGGGGUCAGAGGAGGGCCAGUCGGCUGACCGUUUGGCUGCGACGGUUAUUUCGGAAGAUCCCCCUACAGUCCUGGUGGAGUUUUCCUCAGUGGUGGCAGAUACACAGGAAUACAUAAUUGAGACAGCUGCUGAAGACCUGGAAACCAGCGAAGCUGCUGAGAUCAUCGAAGGAACCAGGCACGAGGUGGACAGUCAUAUAAUGAAAGUGGUUCAACAGAUAGUAAACCAAGCCAAUUCUGGCCACCAGAUAAUUGUCCAGAAUGUCACGGUGGCAGAUGACUCAACCAUGACAGCAGAGGGCGUGGACCCCGACACAAUUGCCAUAGCAACUCCGGAGAGCCUGACCGAGCAAGUCGCCAUGACCCUGGCUUCAGCGAUUGGGGAAGGGGCUGUGCUGACCACGGAGGGCGGGGGGGAGGUGGAGGAAGCCACCGUGACCAUGGUGGCAUCCGAAGACAUUGAGAUAAUGGAGCACACGGGGGAGUUUGUGAUCGCAGCCCACGAGGACGACGAUGACCUAGAAGUUCAGGCUGUGAUUGUCUAGGGCGCCCAGAGGGGAAGCUUUUCAGAGUGGCAGCCUGGCUGCACCCAGGUCCCAGGUCCAGUGACGUCGCCCCAAGAGCCCGUGGCCACAUGUUCUGGUCAGGGAGGGUACCUGGCCCUUCUGGGUGUGGCAACCUGUUGAAACCAGGCAGUUCUCGAGUAAAGCACUUUAGAGUAAAAAAAAGAAAAUUGUGUGCAGGGAUACUUAAUGACGUGGCAGUGAGAGGUUCCCACGUGUGGGAGGAAACUCGGCUUGCUUUUUUUUCAUAGGAAUGUGGGUUUUAUCAUUUUAGAAAACCAGCGGCUUUAUUUGUAUUGCCGGAAUACUCAGAAAGGCCACACUGUACAUUUUUGCAACCAUGUAGCUUUUAAUUAUCUAUUGUCUGAUUUAACUUGUAAAUAUUUUUUUAAACAAAACAAUUUUUUAUAUUAUUGUAUUCCGAUGUAAUUAAAGGAGAGUGCUGAAGGCUUCAAAUGUAUCAGUGGUUAUUUCUCUCCCAGGAAUGUCUUGUCGGUGUAGCAGGAAAAGGAAUUGUGCAAGAGGCCUCAAACAGAAAUUUAGCCCUUAUAAUUUAAGGAUGGGAGGGACCCAACCAUAGAAUUGGCUUCUUAGAAGUUUCAAAUACCCACAUAAUGCAGUUCAGGGCAUUGCAUAGUUCCAGUUCCCUGCAGAACUAGCUCUGGAGUGGGCCUUCCUGGUAAUUUGCAGCAGGAAAUGAAAUAGACGUAGGCCUCCACUCACCU